ACGCGAAGAACCUUACCCAGGCUUGAACAGCGAGUGACCAGCGAUGAAAGUCGCCUUCCGCAAGGACACUCGUAGAGGUGCUGCAUGGCUGUCGUCAGCUCGUGUCGUGAGAUGUUGGGUUAAGUCCCGCAACGAGCGCAACCCUUGUUUGCUGUUGCCAUCACGUUAUGGUGGGCACUCUGCAAAGACUGCCGGUGAUAAACCGGAGGAAGGUGGGGAUGACGUCAAGUCAGCAUGGCCUUUAUGUCUGGGGCUACACACGUGCUACAAUGGCCGACACAAACCGUCGCAAAACCGUAAGGUCGAGCUAAUCGGAUAAAGUCGGUCUCAGUUCGGAUUGCAGGCUGCAACUCGCCUGCAUGAAGUUGGAAUCGCUAGUAAUCGCGGAUCAGCACGCCGCGGUGAAUACGUUCCCGGGCCUUGUA
rnacentral:rRNA from 1 species